rnacentral:rRNA from 1 species
UUUCCUACGGGAGGCAGCAGUGGGGAAUAUUGGGCAAUGGGCGCAAGCCUGACCCAGCAGCGCCGCGUGAAGGAAGAAGGCUUUCGGGUUGUAAACGUCUUUUGUCAGGGAAGAGUAGAAGACGGUACCUGACGAAUAAGCCACGGCUAACUACGUGCCAGCAGCCGCGGUAAUACGUAGGGGGCAAGCGUUAUCCGGAUUUACUGGGUGUAGAGGGAGCGUAGACGGCAGCACAAGUCUGGAGUGAAAUCCCGGGGCUUAACCCCGGAACUGUUUUGGAAACUGUGCGGCUGGAG